AGGAGAAAGCACCAUCCAUAAGUGGUUUGCUCUGUUUAGAAGCGGAAAUUUUCAUGUUGGAAGACGCAAAGCACUGGUCGUUCCUCAAACGUUGUUGAUGACGGUAUCAAGUUACGAAAAAGAAUAUAAGACAAAGUUCAGAUCUCAUGCCUAAUUUGUUAAACAGAUGGGUUAGUCUCGUACGUACUGAGGACAACUCGAAAUUAUGCUAGGAAUUUUGACUCUUACAAUCGAGACAAACUGUCUAUUAAGGGAUAAAAGGUGUGAAUAGAACUUCAUAUUUUGAACCUGAUGUUAAUGAUCGAUUAUUAGCAACUAGCACCGGAAACUAACACAAAUAGAAUGCUCAAUUGACGAUGCGGUGAUAAUUGGACAAAAUCUACUGAAUACAACCAUCCAUCAAUAAAGGUGACAACAGACACUUCACAUCACCGGGAGGACAGAUGAUAAGAAAAACCAGUCAGCGCUGGCACUCAAUUUGUGGAAUUAAUAGACGAGGAAGUUAGUAGGGACAGUAAGAAGAAGGUUCCAUGAAAAUAACCUCAGGGCCCGGCACCCGGCCUUCUUACCACCGCUCAGAAAAUGGCCAGGCAUUCGCACGGGACCAUCCAAUUGGACAUUGGAAGAUUGGGAAGUUCUCUUUACAGAUGAGGUGAGAGUUGGCCUCAAAUUUCAGAUGGGUGUAAUUUCAUAUGGAGAUGUUCAGGAGAAAGGCAAGCUCUAUGCUGUUUGGUUCCCCAGGUAGCAUUCCACGGUGGGUCGUUGAUGUUCUGGUGUGGCAUUUCCUUGGACGACCGCACAGAAAUGGUUGUUGUGCGAGGAAGGUCUCUAACUUCACAGAGGCAUAAUUGAAUAACAUGUAGUGCCAUUUGCCAUCCACACCGGUGAGAGAUUCUGGCUAAUGCGGGAUAAUGCAUGGGGACUGGCAAGCAGCACUUGGGAGCACGUGUUGUGGACUUUUUUCAUGGACUACCUGAAUGUGGUUGGAAUCGAGCGCUUGGAGUAUUUUUGAUGAGGAAACACCCCCGUUUCGCUUAACAUCGGAACUGGGACCCAACAACACAAUCUCAUCCCGAAGGACCGUCUUUUUUGUCGGAAGUGUACUCUCUCCCUCAGGCCAAGGCGUGAUACUCCUACCAAGUGUGGAAACACUGAGCAACCUUUCUCUACAAGCGGGAAGCCUUCGAAGUUUCCCGAAAAAGCAGGUGUCCGUAAGCGUUUCAGACCUUCGGUAUAAAGUUAUAGGUCUACAAAAGAUUUGAAAAGAAUUUUUUUUCCGAAAAAAAAUGCCUGUAGUGAGGUUUUUAAAAAUGAAAAUUACGAUAUUUCAACGUUUCGGCGAUCCUACCAAAUUUUCAAGAAACAUUUUAUUUUCGAAUAUUGCAUAC